rnacentral:rRNA from 1 species
CGAGCGAAGCGUAUUUGCGGAAGUUUUCGGAUGGAAGCGGAUGCGACUUAUCGGCGGACGGGUGAGUAACGCGUGGGUAACCUGCCUCAUACAGGGGGAUAACAGUUAGAAAUGACUGCUAAUACCGCAUAAGCGCACAGGACCGCAUGGUCCGGUGUGAAAAACUCCGGUGGUAUGAGAUGGACCUGCGUCUGAUUAGCUGGUUGGCGGGGUAACGGCCCACCAAGGCGACGAUCAGUAGCCGACCUGAGAGGGUGGCCGGCCACAUUGGGACUGAGACACGGCCCAAACUCCUACGGGAGGCAGCAGUGGGGAAUAUUGCACAAUGGGGGAAACCCUGAUGCAGCAACGCCGCGUGAGUGAAGAAGUAUUUCGGUAUGUAAAGCUCUAUCAGCAGGGAAGAAAAAAGACGGUACCUGACUAAGAAGCCCCGGCUAACUACGUGCCAGCAGCCGCGGUAAUACGUAGGGGGCAAGCGUUAUCCGGAUUUACUGGGUGUAAAGGGAGCGUAGACGGCAUAGCAAGUCUGAAGUGAAAGCCCGUGGCUCAACCGCGGAACUGCUUUGGAAACUGUUAAGCUGGAGUACUGGAGAGGCAAGCGGAAUUCCUAGUGUAGCGGUGAAAUGCGUAGAUAUUAGGAGGAACACCAGUGGCGAAGGCGGCUUGCUGGACAGAGACUGACGUUGAGGCUCGAAAGCGUGGGGAGCAAACAGGAUUAGAUACCCUGGUAGUCCACGCGGUAAACGAUGAAUG